CCUACGGGGAGCAGCAGUGAGGAAUAUUGGUCAAUGGGCUUACGCCUGAACCAGCCAAGUCGCGUGAGGGAAGACUGCCCUAUGGGUUGUAAACCUCUUUUGUCAGGGAGCAAUUGGCGCUACGUGUAGCGUUAUCGAGAGUACCUGAAGAAAAAGCAUCGGCUAACUCCGUGCCAGCAGCCGCGGUAAUACGGAGGAUGCGAGCGUUAUCCGGAUUUAUGGGGUUUAAAGGCUGCGUAGGCGGAAUGCCAAGUCAGCGGUAAAAUCGCGGGGCUCAACCUCGCUCCGCCGUUGAGACUGGCAGGCUUGAGUGGGCGAGAAGGAUGCAGAAUGCGUGGUGUAGCGGUGAAAUGCAUAGAUAUCACGCAGAACUCCGGUUGCGAAGGCAGCAUACCGGCGCCCGACUGACGCUGAAGUGCGAAAGCGUGGGUAUCGAACAGGAUUAGAUACCCGGGUAGUC
rnacentral:rRNA from 1 species